rnacentral:rRNA from 1 species
UCGCGGGGCAGCGGGGGAUGUACAUACAUUCUGCCGGCGACCGGCGCAAGGGUGCGUAACGCGUGAGCAACAUGCCCGUCUCAGGGGGAUAACCGGUGGAAACGCCGCCUAAUACCCCAUGGCGAUAUAUUGAGGCAUCUUGAUAUAUCUAAAGCUCCGGCGGAGACGGAUUGGCUCGCGUGACAUUAGCUGGACGGCGGGGUAACGGCCCACCGUGGCUACGAUGUCUAGGGGUUCUGAGAGGAAGGUCCCCCACACUGGAACUGAGACACGGUCCAGACUCCUACGGGAGGCAGCAGUGAGGAAUAUUGGUCAAUGGGCGGGAGCCUGAACCAGCCAUGCCGCGUGAAGGCGAGUGCCCUACGGGCGUUAAACUUCUUUUGUGCGGGAGCAAUAAGGGCCACGCGUGGCCCGAUGAGAGUACCGCACGAAUAAGCAUCGGCUAACUCCGUGCCAGCAGCCGCGGUAAUACGGAGGAUGCGAGCGUUAUCCGGAUUUAUUGGGUUUAAAGGGUGCGUAGGCGGAUCGUUAAGUCAGUGGUCAAAUUGAGGGGCUCAACCCCUUCCCGCCAUUGAAACUGGCGAUCUUGAGUGGAAGAGAAGUAUGCGGAAUGCGUGGUGUAGCGGUGAAAUGCAUAGAUAUCACGCAGAACCCCGAUUGCGAAGGCAGCAUGCCGGCUUCCUACUGACGCUGAAGCACGAAAGCGUGGGGAUCGAACAGGAUUAGAUACCCUGGUAGUCCACGCGGUAAACGAUGAGCGCUAGGUGUCCGGGGGGAAUGGCCCCUGGGCGCCACAGCGAAAGCGUUA